AGUCUUUACGGAGAAAGCUUUAUGCACCAUUGGAUGAGCCUGCACUUGAUUAGUUUGUUGGUGGGGUAAUGGCCUACCAAGACUGUGAUCAAUAGCUGAUUUGAGAGGAUGAUCAGCCACAUUGGGACUGAGACACGGCCCAAACUCCUACGGGAGGCAGCAGUGGGGAAUCUUGCACAAUGGAGGAAACUCUGAUGCAGCGAUGCCGCGUGAGUGAAGAAGGCCCUUGGGUUGUAAAGCUCUUUCGUCGGGGAAGAAAAUGACUGUACCCGAAUAAGAAGGUCCGGCUAACUUCGUGCCAGCAGCCGCGGUAAUACGAAGGGACCUAGCGUAGUUCGGAAUUACUGGGCUUAAAGAGUUCGUAGGUGGUUGAAAAAGUUGGUGGUGAAAUCCCAGAGCUUAACUCUGGAACUGCCAUCAAAACUUUUCAGCUAGAGUAUGAUAGAGGAAAGCAGAAUUUCUAGUGUAGAGGUGAAAUUCGUAGAUAUUAGAAAGAAUACCAAUUGCGAAGGCAGCUUUCUGGAUCAUUACUGACACUGAGGAACGAAAGCAUGGGUAGCGAAGAGGAUUAGAUACCCUCGUAGUCCAUGCCGUAAACGAUGUGUGUUAGACGUUGGAAAUUUAUUUUCAGUGUCGCAGCGAAAGCGAUAAACACACCGCCUGGGGAGUACGACCGCAAGGUUAAAACUCAAAUGAAUUGACGGGGACCCGCACAAGUAGUGGAGCAUGUGGUUUAAUUCGAAGAUACGCGCAGAACCUUACCAACACUUGACAUGUUCGUCGCGACUCUAAGAGAUUAGAGUUUUCGGUUCGGCCGGACGAAACACAGGUGCUGCAUGGCUGUCGUCAGCUCGUGUCGUGAGAUGUUGGGGUAAGUCCCGCAACGAGCGCA
rnacentral:rRNA from 1 species